AAUUUUUUCUGCGAAUAUUUUCUAAUUAGAACGAAGUUUGUCAGUUAGCUUUAGUUUGAUUGUUUCCAAUUCUGUUCUAUUCAUUGUUGUCCACGUACUAGUGGUAGUAUAAAUAUUUUCGUUCUGCUUAAAGUGUGAUGGCAGUACGGCAGAUCAUACAAGGAAUGCUGAGACACGAAAUCACAUUCAUACCACUUGGGGAAUAUAUCGUCAUCCUAUGUUGAAAAUAAACUACAAGAUACUGAUUAUAUUAGUUAUAAUGGAUUUAUGCAAUAUGGCAGUAUAGCAGAUCUGUCAUGGCAUGCUGAGUAAUGAA